AUUGAACGCUAGCGGGAUGCCUUACACAUGCAAGUCGAACGGAGUGGCGAACGGGUGAGUAAUGUAUCGGAACGUGCCCAGUAGCGGGGGAUAACUACGCGAAAGCGUAGCUAAUCCCGCAUCCUAUUGGAGCUGCCGAUCUCGGAGUAGCGAGUUGGUGGGGUAACGGCGCACCACGGCGACGAUCCGUAGCUGGUUUGAGAGGACGACCAGCCACACUGGGACUGAGACACGGCCCAGACGCCGACGGGAGUCAGCAGGGGGGAAUUUUGGACAAUGGGGGAAACCCUGAUCCAGCCAUGCCGCGUGGGAGAUGAAGGCCUUCGGGUUGUAAAGCACUUUUGGCAGGAAAGCGGUACCUGCAGAAUAAGCACCGGCUAACUACGUGCCAGCAGCCGCGGUAAUAC
rnacentral:rRNA from 1 species